UUUUUUUCUUUUGGUCUAUUAAUAUGGUGGCUUACAUACAGUAAUUGCUUUUAUUUUAUUCUAUUAAAAAAUUUUGAAAUUGUGGUAAAAUACUCAUAACACAAAAUUUACCAUUUUAGCCAUUUUUAAGUGUGUAGCUCAGUGUCAAAAGUACACUGUCGUGCAACCAAUACUACCAUUGAUCUCAAAAGUUUUUUUCAUGCUUGCAGUGCAUUUAUUUUGUACUCCUACUUUAUCAACCUUUCCCUCUCCCUGAGAUCUCUGAUAUCAUUUCUCUUCCAUUGGAUAGUUUCCUUUAGCAUUUCUUUUAGAGCAGGUCUGCUUGUGAUGCAGUCUUUUAGUUUUUCUACAUUGAGAAAUGCUACUUCACUUUCUUCUUGACAAUAAAAUAGUCACUGGAUAGAAUAUUUUCACUGGUUAUUAAUUUGGAGUUGACUUUUUUUUUUCCAACCCUUUAAAAUGUUAUAUCACUUUUUUCUGGCCUACCUAGUUUCUGAUGAGAAAUCUACCACCAUUUGUAUCCUUGCCCCUCUAUGUGAGGGACAUACUCAUAUACCAGUUUCUUCUGACUGAUUUCAGGAUUAUUUUCUUUCAGCCACUUGAUUAUGCUGGGUUUAGAGAUGGACUUCUUUGAAUUUAUUCUGUUUGGAAUUUACUGAGUUUUUUGGAUUCAAAAAAUGUCUUUUUGCAGCCAUUAUUCCUUCAAAUAAUUUUUCUACUCCCUGCUCUUUCUUCUCCUUUUCAGAGAGUCUGAUGAUACAACAUUCAUGUUAGAGCUUUUGGUAUUUCCCACAGUUCCCUAAAGCUCUGUUCAUUUUUUAAAAAUCUUUUUCUUCUGUGCUGUUAAUAUUUCAUGAUUUGCAUUGAUCUAUUUUUCCUCUGUCAUUUCUGUUUAACUAUUGAGCCCAUCCAGUGAAUUUUUCAGUUUGGACAUUUUAUUUUUCACUUUUUAAAAUAUCCAUUUGAUUCUCCUUAGUAUCUUCUAUUUCUUUUCUGAGAUAAUCUGCCUUUCUAUUUGUUUCAAGAGCAUUUACCCUUCUUUCUUACAGAUAAUCUGUAUUAUCUCAGAGUUGACACCUGUUCAUUGUGUUUUCCUGGAGAGUUAAGAUUUCGCUGGGUUUUCUCUCUCUCUGCCCCCCUCUCCUAAAUAGCUCUGGAUUGAGUCCUAGACAUUUAGAAUGUUAUGUUAUGAGAUUUGGAAUCUUGUUUAAAUCCUGAGGGAAAUGACUUUUUUGUUUUGGCAGGCAACUGUCCAGGUUCCGUUCAAGCCACAAGUUCUGACUUGCCUUCUAUGGGCUAUGUUUCCAGAGUCAGUUCAAUUUCAGAGUGUUUUCAGUGUUAUUCAGUCCCAAACAUGUACCACCCAGUGGCCAGUCUGGUACUUGGGAUGUGGCCUAACUUGUCACCUGGUCUUCUAAUCCUAGGGUAUACUCAGGUCCAUAUAUGUGCAUAUCAGAGGUAGGCCCAGUAUUCAUUCACAAUGCUUUCUCUCUGCCAUUUCACCAAUAUGCUUCAACUCACUGGGACUUCCAGUCAGAAAUUGAAUCUUUAUUUCUUCUACUCUGCAGGGCACUUCUUGUGACUAGGGUCAAGCAGAAAAAGGAGAGAGAGAAACAAAACAAAACAAAACAAAACAAAACAAAAAAACACUGUUACUCUUUUAUUGUCUGGGGUUUGAAUGGGAGAAAAUGGGGCCAAAACUUGGAGUCUUCUCCACUCUCUCUGUUUCAUAUAAUCUCCUUUUCCCUGUCUCUUGAAAUAGCAAUUUAGACCUUCUCUUAGUUCUCGUCCUGACAGCAGCCAGGGUGCCUUUCAGAUUUUGGGCUGCAUUCAAGGUCAGGCUCUGUAAAACUGCAGGAAGAAACUGGUAAAUUUAUCAGUUUAGGGUAAAUUUCAGAUUCAGGUCUUAUUCCUCAAUCUGCAUGCUACUGUUUAUUUUUUAAAGGUUUCACACAGCUGCCUCAUUCAAUCAGUCCAGGACUUACAAUAGCAUUCAGUAAAAGAGAUGGGGUGCAGUGUGCUUAUUCCAUCUUUCUUAGACCAGAACUCUAAGUCUACACACUUAAAGCUAUAUUCAUUUUUUUAAGUUUUUUUUUUAUUUAUUUAUGAUAGUCACAGAGAGAGAGAGAGGCAGAGACACAGGCAGAGGGAGAAGCAGGCUCCAUGCACCGAGAGCCCGAUGUGGGACUCGAUCCUGGGUCUCCAGGAUCACGCCCUGGGCCAAAGGCAGGCGCUAACCCGCUGCGCCACCCAGGGAUCCCUUAAAGCUAUAUUCAAAUGUGCAUUAUUUUUCAUUUCAUCUGGAGUGAUUUUAUAGCCUAAUUGUUGAUUUCAUAGGCUGUCCUUCAUUUACUUAUAGGCUGUGAAUGAAAAUGGUCUUGAUGUCAAUUCUUCCACUUACUGCUGCAUGACCUUAAGUAAAUUACUUAUUUAAACUCUCUGUAUCAGUAAACUUAUCUAUAUGAUAUGGAUACAGGCCAGAAAGAGAGGGAGAAAAAAGGGGAGGAGGAAGAGGGGGAAGAGAGGAGCAAGGGGUAAUUAGUUAAAAGGCUAUUGCAGUCCUGGAAAAAAAUAAUGGUGGUUUGAACUAGGGUAUUAGUGGUGGUAACAUGGAGAGCCUCUUUGGCUUUCCUCCAUCCUAUAUUCAUAGUCUAUUCAUCCUAAUGUUCAAGAUGAAUAAGAGGAUGUGGUCCAAAAGAAAAAAAGAAGAAAAAAAAAAAACCCUACUGUUUCAGUUCUUUUUUUCUGCUGCUUCAAAAACAACCUUGAUUUAUGUUAAAUUUUAGUAUGAGGAACUGGGUUUGUUUGCUCUAGAGAAAGCUCAAGGGUGGGGCAGAAGGGUCUUGAAGAUAGGAUAGUUGUCUUCAAAAGGCUAAAGAACAUUGUCUAUGAGAAGAAUCACUAAAUGUAUGCUAAGCAAGCGAGCAGGCACAAAUAGAACUACAGGAAAGACAUUAUAGGAGUCAGUUUAGCUUAAUACCUGGAUGAACUUUAUAAUUAUUAAAGCUGUCUAAAAUGAAAUGGGCAGAUUUGGGCACAGGAGAAUAUUGGUUGUGGGAGGCGUCCAAUCAGAGGAUGUUUCAUGUUCCUUUUGGGUUUGAGAAUUGUCAUCAGCUCUCCAUUUAAUAGGUAUACAUCAUGAUCAUGUUUUGGUGGUAUGAGGAACAGAGACAUGAGGCUUGUGAAAGAUGAUAAUGCUUUUGGCAAUAGAUAUAUUUUGUUAUUUUACCCCCUUACGCUGGCUUUGUCUUCUUCACUUUGUGUGUUCAAACAGAGGAAGCAGCUUAAGUCAGUGACAGCCAUUUUGCAUAAGAAUUGAUUCUACUCUGUCUUUCCACCUUGUUUCUUAAAGCAUAAUUUGUUAAGUGCUUAGGAUAGUACCAGGCCCAAUGUUAAGUAUUCUAAAUAAAUUAUCUCAUUAUAUAUUCACAAUAUUUUGAGAAACCUAUUACCAUCAUCAUUGUUGUGCACAUGAAAAAACAAGGCUUAGAGAUAUCAUAGUUUACUUGAGUUUACAUGACUAUAUAUGCAGAAUAAUGGUCCCCCAAAGAUGUCCAUGUCCCAGCUCCUGGAAACUGAAUACGUUACCUUACAUAGCAAGGGGACCUUGCAGAUGUAAUGAAGUUAAAGAUCUUGAGAUGGGAAGAACAUCCUGGAUUAUCCAAAUGGACCUAGUAUAAGUCACAUGGGUCCUUAAAAUAGGAAGGUCAGAAUCAGAGAAAAUGUAACUACAGAAGCAGAAUCAGAGAGAGAUUUAAAGACACUAUUUUGCUGGCUUUGAAGAUAAAGGAAGACACCAUGACCCAAAUAAUAAUACAGGUGGUCUCCAGAAAUUGGAAAACGCAAGAAAAUAGAUACUUCCUUAGAAUGUUCAGAAGGAACCAGAGCUGCCAACACCUUAAUUUCACCCCAGUUAGACCCAUUUUGUAGCCACUUAGUUUGAACUAAGUGGAAGACGUGAGCUUUAGAGCAUAUGCAUCAUAGAGCAUUUGCUUUAAUGCUGACCUUGGUUUUAGUGUCCUGUACACACAGACACAUCUAAACCGCACAGAUUGCCCACAUAUUACAGAUGACUUCUUUCUGGGAAUUUCAUAAUCAUGGAGGCUGUGAGCAGGAGGGGGAAUGCACUGUUAACAGUUCUAUGUCAUUCAUGGCUUGGAUUCAGAAUUAGAAUUUUAAUGGGACCAUCAAAGUCCUUUUAUCUCAUCUCUGCUUCUGAGGCUUGACCUUCCUCCACAGUGUUCUUGUCAAUGGUUGUCCAGCCCUGCUUCCACACCUCCAGUGACUGGAAUUGCACAUCUCUUUUGGAAAGCCAUGCUAUCUUAAAGCAACUCUGUUAGAAAUUUCUAUUUCAGAUUGAUCAAAAAAAUCUUUCUUGCAACUGCUAUCUGUGGGUUCCAGUCCUAUUAUUUGUUGGCACAUGGAAUUAGUUUUUAUUGAUUUUGCAUUGGGUGGAAUGUUAAAGUAGAUGGCCUCUAAGAUUUUAUUUAUUUAUUCAUGAGAGAGAGAGAGAGAGAGAGAGAAGCAGAGAUGCAGGCAGAGAGACAGGCAGGCUCCCAGCAGGGAUCCCGACUGGAACUUGAUUCCAGGAUCCGGAGAUCAUGACCUAAGCCAAAGGCAGACACUCAACCACUGAGCUACCCAGGUGUCCCAAGUGGAUGGCCUCUAAACAGCCUUUUAACUCUUACGAUUCAAGCCUGAUCCUUAUCUAGGACAUUAAUACCAGUCUUGUAGGUUUU
rnacentral:lncRNA from 1 species